rnacentral:lncRNA from 1 species
CAAAGUUUCAAAAAAUUAUAAAUUAAUCACAAAUAUAUAAUUAAACAUCAAACUAAAAAAAAAAAAUGCAUUCAUCUUCCUCCUCCAUUUUCUUGUUCCAAGCCCUACGGCAUGCCACAGUUGUCAAUGUCACAAUAAUUAAUACCCAUUAAUUCUCAGUCCACAAAUCCAACCCACAAAUCCAACCCCCAAAAGCAGAAAAACAAAGGAAAAAUGGGGUGUAGCUACGAGGAAGAAGACUACGAAGCAAUGACCUUAUCAAACCCUCAAUUCGGGCCACCGCCAUAGACACGAAGCUCUACCGCUUACCGAUAUAGUUAUCUUACCAAUGAAUUAUAACUUCUCAGCUCUAUUAUGCAAGGACACUCUAUACACCAUAUUAGAGAACUUGUUACUCAUCGACCUGGCCCGUUCGGCUUGAGUUUGCAGGCUCUGGUACUCCGUGGUUGUUGAUAAGGAUAUACAGAUCAAGGCUUUAUUUCUACCUGGAAACUUUCGGGUGUUGGAAACCCUACCUUUGCUAGCUUCUGGAAAGACAAUUCGCUUUCCAAAUAUGCCAUUUCGCAUCGCCUAUCAUGUGGGGACUCUAUUACCAACCUCAUUGUCAAAUAUUAUGUUUAGGUAUCUUAUGCUUUGUAUUUUGUAUUUUUUUUUUGUAGUAUUUGCUACAUACAAGGAAGAAGUGUGUGGAAGAAGAAGAUAAUGAAUUUUAUUUUUUAGUUUUGAUUUCUAAUUAUAUAUUUAUGAUUAAUUUGUAAUUUGUUAAAAAUUU